CGGAGGGUGCAAGCGUUAUCCGGAUUCACUGGGUUUAAAGGGUGCGUAGGCGGGCAUUUAAGUCAGUGGUGAAAUACCUGAGCUUAACUUGGGAACUGCCAUUGAUACUAUCUGUCUUGAAUGUCGUGGAGGUUAGCGGAAUAUGUCAUGUAGCGGUGAAAUGCUUAGAUAUGACAUAGAACACCUAUUGCGAAGGCAGCUAACUACGCGAAUAUUGACGCUGAGGCACGAAAGCGUGGGGAUCAAACAGGAUUAGAUACCCUGGUAGUCCACGCCCUAAACGAUGAUUACUCGACAUUGGCGAUACACUGUCAGUGUCUGAGCGAAAGCAUUAAGUAAUCCACCUGGGAAGUACGACCGCAAGGUUG
rnacentral:rRNA from 1 species